GUCCAAGUCACCCACAGCAAAUCCAGGCCAAUGUGCUCAAACACAGGCCUCAGACAUGCUGUGCAGUUCGCCCUCUCCACCUGCCUCUGUCUUUCUACUGUCCCUCAGCUGCAAGAUGGCAGUGUCUCCAGGCCCGCCUGGCCACGGAGCUCAGCACAGCCCUGUGCCCCACAGGCCCUGAGGAAGCCCAUCAGCAUGGCUUGGCAGGGUUUCUCCUGAAGCAGGGCUCACACUGGGGAUGAUCUAAUUUAGGAAUGUGGCAGAGAGUUCAGAUGCUUAUCCAGAGUUUAAAGAGUAGACAAACCUUUUAUCCUACAAGAUCUGGCUAGGUCCUCUGGUCCUUAUUCAGGCAAAACUAUAGCUGGCUUUAACGGGAACUUUGGCUGGGGAAAAAAAAAAAGAAGAAGAAGAAGAAAAAAAAAAGAAAAACACCUGCAAGAUUUAACUUUUCCCUGGAAUUUUCAUGAGAUUUCUGGUUGGUUUUGCUCAAACUACAAAAGCAAUUUAAAUGCUCAUUCACCAUUCAGCCUGCAGUCACAGCCUGGAUCCUCAACCACCGUAAUAAGUGUCAGUGAAAAAUAACUGAGGAAAACUGAAGUGAGAGAGAAAAUAGAGAAAGAUCUUGUGCACUGGACAAACGUUACAAGAAAUGAUUUCAUUCCAGAAUUUGCAGGGCAGAAGUAAAGCGUGCUGUCUUAUUAUGCAGUAAGAUAUGCAUAUUUUAAAUAUGGAUGUUAUAUAAACAUGACAGUCACAUGCAUCACCACAUUCACAGAAAGUUCUCUCUUGGGCUGUGCCCAAUACACACAUUUGGUCUGAAAUAUGUAUGACCACCAACAGCUGCUGGUGCUGUACAUCUACAUAAGCAAGACAAAGAGAGAGUGCUGCUGCAGUGCACAAGUAGUUAUUUGUGGAGGCUCUGUAUGAAAAAGCUGGUCAUUUCCUCUCCUUCAGUAACAAGCUCGAUAGCCAUCUAAUCGUGUAUGGUAGGAGUGUAACUGCCUACUUCCCACUAUAGCCACAAGAUAGCAUUUUAUUUCUGGUUCAUCUAGCUGUUUGGUCUGUUGUGUCCCUGAGGAUAAUUAGUCCUGAACACAGGGAAAGUACUUAUCUUGCACCAGGGAUAUUCUGUCAAAUACCUCCUCACACAAAAACUCAUUUAAAAGGAUAAAAAACACUACCUCAGGAAUUGAAUACAUCUGCGGGCUUCUAGUCACUUCCAGCAGGUGACAUAUCUGAAAUCACAGAGCCUCACUUUGGUGACUAGGUAGGAGCCAAUUAGCUUCAUUUUGAACUGGGAAAACUGCAUCAUGACAGCCUCCAAGGAGCAAGUCCUAUCUGUUGUAAACAAAUCUGAUUUGCUCUGUUUUGCUUCCCCACAAAUACUGCACAUCGGUUACAGAUAAAGUUGCUUUACAGGGUAAGCCCCCACCAUCACUGAAAACAGGCAUUGUUUUUCUUCUCCCCAGGAGAGGAAGAAUAAAUGUGACAGUUCGCAGUCACCACUGGUAGUGGCUGGAAACUAAACUCUCUCACCAGAAGUUCUCCCCAAGGCUUCUUUAAAUAUUCCAUGACUAGCUAUGUCCAAAUGCAUUUCCCAGAGGAUCAAAGUACAUUUUUCUUUCACUUGACAGAAGGCACUGAGUUGUUGCUAUCAGUUUGCUCUUACAAUCCUUUUGCAUCACCCGCUCACAGAAAUAAACAUUCUUUGAGGUUUUUCCUGAUGCAGUAACUGACCAUGCCACCACGGCUUUAUUUUGGCCAUAGACGCCUGUGGCAUUUCUGCAAGAGGACAAGCAUCUCGUUCAGACCCCAUUAAAAGAGAGCUCAGUUCUUACAGCAGUUUGACAAGUCUGAUAAAGAGAAAGAAAACCAAAUUACUAGGACUUGAAAUAUAAAGUAGAUGAACCAAUCUAGAGAUGCUGCAUGAAAGAAGGUGGAUUUUUUUCUGGACAAGGAAUGACUUGAGAGCAGCCCUGAGGAGAAGGAUUUGGGGGUGCUGGUUAAUGAAAGACUGAACAUGAGCUGGCUAUAUGCACUUGCAGCCCAGAAGGCCAACUGUGUGCUGGGUUACAUUAUGAAAAGAAUGAAAGAAAAGCAAGGAAGAUGAUUCUGCCCCUCUACUCUGCUCUUGUGAGACCCACCUGGAGUACUGCAUCCAAUUCUGGGGCCCUCAACACAAGACAGACAUGGAGCUGUUGGAGUGGGUCCAGAGGAGGGCCACAAAGAUGAUCAGAGGGCUGGGACACUUCCCCUACGAAGAGAGGCUGAGAAAGUUGGGACUCUUCAGCCUGCAGAAGAGAAGGUUUGGGAGACCUUACAGCGGCCCUUCCAGUAUCUGAAGGGGGCAUACAGGAAAGCUGGGGAGGGACUUCUUAUAAGGGCAAGUAGAGACAGGAUGGGGGGAAAUGUCUUUAAACUGGAAGAGGGUAGAUUUAGACUAGAUAUUAGGAAGAAGUUAUUUACGGUGAGGGUGGUGAGACACUGAAACAGGUUGACCAGCAAGGCUUUGGUUCCCCCCCUCCCUGGAAGCCUUUGAGGCCAGGCUGGAUGAGGCUUUGAGCAACCUGGUCUAGUGAAAGGUGUCCCUGCCUACAGCAGGGGCUUGGAGCUAGGUGAUCUUAAAGGUCUCUCCCAGUCCAAACCAUUCUAUGAUUCUUUGAUAGUCACUUCAGCAGUUGAAAAAGAAAUUUUUUGGUUUAAGUCCACCAUCUUUCCACCAGGCCUACUGCUAUCCAUGUCAGUAUUUUUUUCCCCACUUAUGAAUGAAUUUCUCCUUUUACAUGUAAAUAAGAGACUGACCUAUACAGAGUAGGUAAAUCAAGAAGCGUAUUAAGAUGUUCCACCUGUCCCAAAAUACUCCGGCAUGCUACACAUGAGCUGAUACUCACUUUCAACUUUAAAGUUGCUGAGACUGGAUAGUGUCCCCCAGAUAUUUUCUAAUAGGAUCCAACGUUUUGCAACAUGCCCAUCUAGAGACCUGAUCUAUCAGGAAAUGAGAUCUGAACACCUAUGUGGCUUUUGUUCAGCACAAGACGGAGCACAAGAGUCAGGAUAUUCUCACUGCCUAAAGCCAGAAAGGAAGCAAGUCGCCUUGUACAACUCCUGGCUGUAUUUUCCAAUUUUCAUUCUUCCCUCCCAUUCAGCUGUCCCAUCAGGUUUGCAUCAGAGCUGGCACGCAUCUGAACUCCCGCCUGGCCCAGCCUUUGUCAUUAUGCCCUUCAAUGCACAAAGUUCGGUGCGUUUUCCACUCUUCAGUAGGAGGUGCAAGGGCUGGAAAAACUGGCAGUAGAGCACAUAUGCUCCUUUUAUCCCAGCACUUUCCCUUGUGACUGCAUUUACUCUCUCACACGGACUCAGGAUGUUAACUAAACUGACAAGGACUAGAUAGCAGAGAGAGGAAGGAAGGAAGGAAAGCAUCUGCAUUUCCAAUCCAGUGACUGCAAAUAAAGUUCCUCAACUUUUAGAAGUCUCUCAAGCACAGCAUACACAGGGUUUGGAGAAGCCAGGGGCUUCUGAUGAAAGUGCUGUGCUGUUAUUUUCAGUGCCACAGCCAGGCUGGGAUUACGUUUUGGUCUUCUGAGAAAAGGAAGCUGGUUGUCACGUCUACUUCUGCUCUUUUUUAAAACUCUCAAAGAAACUUUGCAACAUAAAAUCACUGAGCACCUACAAAGAAAGCUUUACAAAGGGACACCACUUACUGCCUCAAACUCAGUUUCCAUCACCUCCUGCACAAUUCAUCCAUGCUACACAAAGUCCUAAACAGCACACAUCCUAUCUUUCCCAGUGCAAACAGAUACAUUUUUUUUUUAACUGUAAAGCCAGGCUUUUUGUUUAACACAGUGAAAAAUCACACAUAGCAGGAGCCUGCUGUUAGCAUAACUUACGGUAAUGAAUCAGUUAGCAAGGAGACUGGUGAAAAGAUUGAUUCAUGACAUGAAAAGGGUAACUGGAUCCUUUCUUUUGCCUCCUUAAUUUGCCAACAUACCUGCCCUUACCAGCACCUUUUGAAGCUGUUGCCACAGCACUACUCUUCCUUCUUGGGCUUCAGCAGUGGGUUGAACACAUCAUCUCUUUGCAGACUGCUGAAGAGCUGCAUCACAAGUGAGACUGGAGGUUGGUUGGAAGUCCCUUGAAAUCCAAGCACUUGUGCUCAGGAAGAAUUCACUCCACAUUUCUUCCUUCUUGCUGAAGGCUGGAUGUGCAAAUCCAUCUUAUUUUCACUUGACUCACACUGUGAAGACACAUACUGUGAUGUGGGGUGAUAUUAGCUGUAGAAAAGAAAAAGCUUUAAGACCACUGGGCCUCAAAAUGUGUCAAAACACACCAGGCAUGAGAAUCUGCCAUUUCUCUAUGGGAGGAGGCUGAUCUCCCCACAAAGGGCCAAGCAAGCUGUGCUCCAAGGACCUGCUCUCAUCCACUCAUCCAAACCCACACAGGGGAGCACAGCCAGGAAGAGCCACAGGACCUGCCAUCCCCUGUGCUGCCACCCAGCUCUCUUCCCUCUUGGGGGCUCAGAGCCUGAGCCAAGGUAUUGUUGCCUUUGAGGUUCAUUCUUUUAAAAAACUGACUGACGAUCAAUAUGCGAAAGCUGAGCUGUGCUUUGGGGCUCAGGGAUGGACAGCAAGAGUGCUGGAGCUGGCCUAAGGCAUGCACUGCCUGGGACAGUUGCUCCUUACCUGAGGCUGCACAUUUUGUAACUAAAGUUGGAGGAUGAGUUACCAGGGAGGACUUCAGGGAAGGUGACAGGAAGGAGGACAGCUGGUGUAGCUCCUCUAGAGUAAGCCAUGACUGAAAAGAGAACGGAGGCCCUGACCUGGAUACGGUCCUGGACAACCUGUUCUGGCUGGCCUGAGCAGGGAGUGGACCAAGUGGCCUCCAGAGGUCCCUUUACCUCCAGCAGCCCGUGACUUGGCUUGAUGUGUCCGGAGUGGCACUCCCAUGCCCACAGCCAUCCACUUGUAGCCUUGGGUAAUUUCUUUGCACCAGUGCCUCAGUACUUAAAGCAACACCGAUAACACUUCCAGAACUACACCCUAAAUAGUCUUUGGGACAGAAAUAAAAUUUUGAUUAAGUAGGAAAGCCUUUAUAGGUUAAUUAAAUAACAACUGCUAAACCAUAGCCAACCAGUCAUUAUCUGUGUUUUGAUAUGGACUUAUUACAUAACUGUUAAACUUGGUAUUUAGCAGAUAGCUUCCCUAUUUGAAGGACUAAACAUCUAUUUGAGAUACUUCAUUUUUAAAUGUCACCAUUUCGGUUUACUAGACUUCUUGCUGUGCUUAACACAAACAGUGGGUAUUUAAAGUAAUAACAAAUCAGCUGUCAGCUGGGAGCACUCAGCAGAAGGUAGGGCCUGUCCUGUGACAGCCCUUGCCCUGCUGCUGGGAGAGUCCCAGGGAGGGUCAUGACGCCUCCAGGCCACCCCUCAACUAGCUCUGGACCUUAGGGGCUGAUGGGGAGAAGUAUCAGCACGCCUUCUGAAAAGUGGCUUCUCAGCUCCAGAAGCACCAGCCUGGUUCUCCCAAAUAGUCUUUUACCGCUUCCUGGCAGCAUUCUAUGAAGGGUGACAUGGAGUAGGAUCCCCUGACCAACCGGUGCCAGGCUGUGGCAGGUGCAGGGCCACUAUCUCGCUGCUGCACCCGGAGCUCCUGUGGGCCAUGAACUCCAGCUGCCAUGGGAUGAAAUACUUGCAUGCACCGAACCAAAGACCAUCCCCAACUGCUUUUCAAGCAGGCAUUUUUCUUCAGAGUCUACAUGGAUGGAGAUAGCUUUGCCACCACUCAGUUUCUGCUGUCAUAAUUCUCCUGCUAACAGAUAAGAAACGGUGAAAUGACAUCCUGCCCAAAGAGUCUGAAUGUCUGUACCCACCUGGGGCACGGUCCUGGUACCAAGGCACUACACCCAUAGAGCCUUAUGGCCACAUUAUUUCUCCCUACAUUCAAUUUUUUUGUAAAAGUGCUGUUAUAUUUCUCGGAAGGCUCUUGCAGCUGUUAUCACAUUGGCAAGCAAUGGCUGGGGCCUUCAGCCAUCUCUGGCAACAAAGAGGUUAAGCAUCAGCGAGCCUAGAAGGCUGGCUUUUGAGGGGUGGGUUUAGGAAGCAAAGUUAACAAUAUAAGAAGAGGAAGUGCUGGCCAUCCGUUUGUUUGUUUAUUGUUUCAGCAGUUUGUGCUGUGUGUCUCGUGUGCUAUCUCCAUCCCUCAGUCUCCCAGCCAGUUCAUUAUGCACGGGAAGAGGUGCUUCCUGCCAGCGACCUCCUGGGUCCCCUCCCAUUGUUCGCAGGGCUGAUGUAAAGUGCUGGGGGCGGCAGAAAGGGCUGCAAGCCUGCAAGAAAUACUCCAGAGACCUUCUUCAGUUAAUAAAACAGAUGGCCUUAUUGGCGUAGGCAAAUUUCAACGCUAGCAUUGCAUUUAAUAGGGUUCAUCCAAAGAAAAUCCCAAGAAAAAUAAAGUGAGGAGUUUAGGUUGUCAGAGCCAGAGGGAUAAAUACAGGAGAGACAAGAGGAUGAGCCAUACCUCUGGCAUACCCAGCAGCUCUGCCGUGCCUCUGUAGCCUUCAGGGACUAAGGUUGCUCAACGCCUCCUUCUCUGCUAGGACCUAUUAGUCAGAAGCAGAGGUGCUCCCUGCCUCCAACAGCUAAGCUCUGAUGGCCUAAAUGUCACCCCAGUCUCUGUGCAUAGCAAGGUCUUUAAGUUCCCUAAAUUAGGGCACCUGGGUCCUCCUUGAAGGCCCAGCGCUCUCCCUUCACCUGGUAGAGGAGCAAACAAGCAAGAGACUCUAAGCCCCUAAGACCAUCAGAACUUUGUUUUCUGAAGCUCCAGUGCCCUAUGCACCCCCAAAGUUCCUUCCCUAUGUUUCUGUAGUGAUCAGGCUAUAACACCUUGCAGAAGGAGUGUGCUUCUCAGAUGCUGUAAGAACACUUUUUUUUUUUUUUUUUUUUUUUUUUUUGAAAGAACACUUUGUACAAUCCCUGAGCUGGGCCUGAAGCAACACUAACAAUAACAAACAGCAAUGAGCUGGAGCUGCAGAGCUGGGAUCCAGAUGUGUACCUGAACUUCCCUAAAAUUUAAGGGUCUUUAAGUCUGGCAUGGGUUAAUCUCCAUAAAAAACGUGAAGAUGAAGGGGAAGAAAAGGGAAAAAUGCAAGCAGAAUACAGUUAACAAGACACAUGGGAGGAUGUCGCCUUCUCUGUGUGCUUGGUAACUGCAGCCUCUUGAAGGUGUGUCCCCAGCUUCUGCACAGCCAGGAGCUGUCAUUAGCCAGAAAUAAAAGGAUUUCUGCUCACUCACACUGGUGAAAGUAAAGCAAUCUGUUUUGAAAAACAGCUUUAAAGCACACAUUGCCACUUUUGAUUAUAAAAAUCCUAGAGGAAUGUGGGCUUUGCUUUAAAUCAUGUACUUUUUUUUUUCACUUUCUCACUGUACGUUUACUUUUACACAGGUACUUUUCUAGCACACGCCUUUAGAAACAUCCAUGAAAACUGUGUCCCAUUUUUCCACUUUCAUUGCUUCUAAAGGUCAAAAGUCUCUCAUCUGAGGCUUUGGAGGAAAAGAAACCUCUCAGUUCCUGGGCUUUCUCUCUGGAGAGAGUCGUCAUUUCCAGGGAAGGGCCGGUGCCUCCCCUCUGGGACAGGAAGCGGCCACAGGAGCACUGUCAUCACUGAAAGUUUUCUUUCAUGCGGAAAUAUUAUUUACACAUGCCACGUCCAAAAGACAACAGUGGCAAGGAGGACUGGCAAGCAACUCUGCUUUAAAUAACCAUUUUCUAAGGCAGGGAGGAGCAUUUUUGUGGCCGUUUCCGUAACAAAGUGUUCCACUCGCUUCUGGCCUAGCUAUGCAGCAUCGUGCUCGUGCAUUCCUAACAGCAGCCUUCCCUUCCCUUCCCUGUCCGCCUUUUGUCAACAAAUAUGUAAGAAAAGAAUUUCACCAUGUCAGGAAUUUUAUGCUUUUGAAACAGAGCUCGCACACUUGACACGACCCAGCCCCCGGACGGAGCUGAGCUGCUGCCCAGAUGGGAGAAGUCGCCAGAGAUGAAGGAACAGAAGGAAAGCAGAAAUUAUUCAUUUCCUCCCCUCCCUCCCCCUGGAGAAAGAAGGAAUAGGACAGUCACAUAGGCAGGAUGCAAGUCUCCGUCACAGGGAAUGCAGAAUGGUCCUGGUCUGUCAGAGUAAAAACCUGCAAGAGCAGAGGGAUGCCCUCCAUAAAUUAUGUAUUUUGCCUGGUCUUUGUUAGCUUGCAUUAUUUAAUAUUUUAAACAAUUACAAAAAGCCCUGACAACAACUCUUUCAAAUAUACUGUGGCAACUGAACUACUUAAAGACCUGUUUCUCCUCCAAAGUUUCUUUGGGGCACAAAUUAAUUUCUGACCCAAUUUUCAAAUACUUCUAAGUGAAGACUGGAGGGAGAAGAGGCUACCCAUCUGCCAAAGGACUAAGGGAAGGGGUGAGUUAACCUAGACAGAACUAAAAGUUCAAGGUAACCUGUACCUUAUGGAUGGGAAGGUUAAACAACAAACACUCUGGACUUAAUAUUACUUGGCAAAAUUCCUAAGAUUGUAUAUAAUUGCCCAUACACCUUUUGUGACAUCCAGGCAGACUACUGGCAGAGCAGUAGAUUCCUCACCUUCCUUCAGGAGGACAGAGGACAGUCUGCUUCAUGAAGGACACAUUUCUCCUCUGCACUGUGAAACAAGCCCACUGCUCACAUCAGCAGGGACGGUGCAUCAUUAAGGACGCUAGAUUAGGCUCAAUGCAUAAGAAGUUUCUUGCUGCCUCUGCAAAGGCAAAUGCACACCAGUAGUAAGAGUAGGUGAUGCUCAAUAACCAGGAAAAACUCUCUCUGUCCAUCUGUAUUAAAGCUACUGAGUGAUGCCUGACUACAAAGGACACCAGCUGCAUCCUGGUGACUAAAGCUAAAUUUGGCAAUGGGGCACCAGAGCAGUGUUUAUGGAAUCUGAGGCAGGAUAUAGACUGUAAACAUUGUUUCCCUGAGAUCUUGCUAUGCAUUGCUCAAAAUUAUUUUCAAAGACAACUCAUUAACCCUCCGCCCACUCUUCUCUGAGGUUGGAUAUGAUGUUUAACAGAAAAAUAACAGUCUUCUCUGACUGGAGGCCAGGGCCUAGGCUCCUUCUUUCCCUUUCUUCAAGAUAUUUCCUUAACAGUACAAAUAUUCUGGGGAAUGUCCUGAGCCAAACUAUGCUUUUGUAAUAUCAAUUAUCUGCAUACAUAUGCUGCAUAGGACAGAGCCUUGUUAAUUAAGAAAUUUUCUCGGACUGCCUAUUUCACCAGGUAAGCAACUAGCAGAUAAAGAAAAGCAAUGUUCAUCCAACCCCUGCUAACUCACAUGCUCCUUAACUUUGACUGCUUGUGGUUGCUUUAGGGGCUAGGAGGAGAACACAUACCACAUCUCUGCCAAUGUCAAGUCUAAGUUACUUGCAGGCAGAAGGAUGAGCUUUCUCCCCUUUGGUAACAAGUGGUAACACCAGCAACAGCAGAAGCAGUAAAGCCUUGUUCCCAUGAUUGAAGUACUCAGCUGAGCUCUGUGUGGGAUUUCUAGCAAAGAAUGAACUUGCAGCCCAGCUUCCUCCUCACUGGAAGCAGGAGGAACAGCUCUCACAGGAGAUUUCCUCAGAGCUCGUGGAUUUGCUGUCCUCAUGGGGACAGCUUGGAACGGCCUGGCACAGCUACCCACACAUAGCAAUUGCCUGAACCUUGUGUCCUCACUCAGUCAACCUUCUUCUUGCUGAGGCCAAUUUGAAGACUAAAGGGUUUAAACCACAGACACUGGCAGGAACUACAGAAGUCAGAAAACCUUAGCACUUUUCCAUGUUUCAUUAGCACCUGUCCUCCCAGUGGCUCUUCACUUCAGGAAAUUAUGCUUAUUUUGUGGACAAGGAAACCAAGGCACAGCUUUUCAAAGAGACUUGUCAAAGAUCAGACACAGCCCCAGAUGUACCUGUUGCAGGUGUGCUCCUGCCCCAGGUGUAGUUGACCAACCAGGCUAAGGUCUCCGUCACAGCCACUGGGCCGUGGCAUGGGGAGGUCACAUCGGGGACCCAGUGCAUAGGGCCGGUGAUGGGAGGCCUCCUGCCCAGGCAGCCUCCCUCCUCUGCCCAGACGAGCUGCAUGGUGUGUGCAAAUGCCGAAACAAUUGCUUCUGCAGUGCCAGAGUUAGUUACGUCUGAAAGGGUACCACCGCACAGUGCGACAUGUCAUUAGGCUGCCGGCUGGGCACUGGAAGAUGGAUGUGUUGUUCACUUUGGUGCAGGCAGUUAACAGCACAGCUAUUUGGUUACAUGAAUUUACAAGCUUAGCUGCCAAGUAAGGGAGACCACAGGUUAACAGCGAGGGGUGAAGGUGCUUGUAAAGGUGCAGGCUGAGCCCUGAACCAAGGCGAUUACAGCUCACUGGGAGUUUCUGAAGCCCAUUAGUGCCAGAGCAAGGAGCUGUCAAGAUCCACAGAUGAGCAGUUAAGUUUGCAAGCUCAGAGGUAACCGUGCGCAGGGAAGGGAAUUUGCUUUACUCUCACAUAUUCUCUCCCUUUUCUCUUUCCCUCACUGAACAGCCCUGUGCACACUAGCCCCAAGCCGCCCCACUGGGGACAAACCUGCCAGCCUGUCCUCCCCUGAAACACUGGGCUCCUCCCCACCCCUGCAGCUCUCAGCCUCACAGGCAUCAUUCCUGUGGGUGCCAGCACUGCCAAGGAGCCCUUCCACCAGAAAGCACUGCUGUACUCCAACUAGACUGAAUAGGUUCUACAGCAGGCAUGCAAAACCACUGCACACUCUGGAAAGUAACAGCUAAUAGUUUUCCCUAAUGGGCGUCUUAUUUCCUUACACUAUCUUCUCCCUUGAAAUAAAUAAUGGUACUUCAAGGUGUCAGACAAACAGUCGCACUUUAAUUUCUCCCUUUGGCAAGCCCAGCCACUAAUUCAGUCUUGUUAUGGUUUUCCCACUAGGGACAAAAUAUAUACUGAGCUUUGAAAACACAUUGUGUAGCAGCAAUUGUUGCUCUAAGCCAAUGGCUGUUUUGCUUUGUUCAGCACUGUAUGCUUGUGUCUACUGUGAGAUAUUGUUUUGUUAAGACCUGUUAUUGAUUAACAGGGAGAGGAAUUGAAUUCCAGAUGGGAGAUGCUGAAACACUCUAAAAUGCUGCAUAAAAAAUGCAAACAUUUAAAAUCAUCUUAAAGGAAGGUAUCUCUCCUAAACCAGAUCCAUUUCUCUUUUCAGCUGUACCAUCUGCAGCAUAUCACCUAAGGGCAUUCUUACAGUUCAACUUGAGGAUAAAGGUCUUGUCCUCAUGCCGAUUCAGAGCUGAUGAAUUUGUCGUCGUGCAAUUUUGGGGGCCAGUUCACCCCUGACACUUAAGUGCUGCAGCCAAGGGUAACAUUAAGUUCCUGGGAACUCUACAUAGAGCAGCUUUGGACAUUUGUCCUGUAUCCUUCAGUUGCCUCAGAAGUACCACAGUCCUCAGUGUGAAUAUAGUAAUGGGUAAGUAGGCAUAAAGUUGUCCUAGGCCCCUACAUCUUCCUCUUCUGCCCUACAAAAAAGAGAUCAAUUAUCAUCUAUAGGUUGAGUGUCAUCUAUAGCAGAGAAUUUUUGUUGCUGUAACUGCAGAGUUCCAUGAGAGCCAGCACAAAGGUAGUGCCCAAGCCAUGGGCAACUGCCCCAGUGCAUCUUGACCCCUCUUGGUGGCACCAGCCGGACUCCAAGCUGCAGCACUGAAAGGCUCAUGGUGAUUUUGCAGUCUUCUGCUCCAGGCAGUUGCACAUGUGUUAUUUUAGCCCUGUUGGGUAGAAGGCCCACAGGAAUGAGGAGAUGCUGUGACACUGAUUGUAAUCUGUCUAGGUGAAAUGUAUUGGUGUCACUUAAUAAGAGGGUAAUGCAAGACUGUGCUAAGGACUUAAAGAGAUUUUCAUAGGGAACAGUAUAAUUCCUCUAGUAUCUUCUGACCAACCCACAGAAAUACUGAAGAUCAGAACCUGUAUCUGGUUCUCUGUAGAAUUUAAUAGAAAACAAAGGGUUUUAUAUCAGCUGACAUGCAGUAUGAUGCUGACAGUUUUCAAUCACAAAAAACCUAUUUGUGCCACUGUGCUGGAGGCUACAUAUCAGAAGACACAACUGCAAAGGCAGCCAGGAGACAUCAGCUCCCUCUUCCAGCCUGCUACUGGAAGAAUAGCCAAAUGCAGCUGAGAAUCACAAGGAACCACAGCUCACACCUCCAUUACUGAUUCUCAUACAGAUUACCUUAUCGCUAAUUAGCUUUUCCAUCAAGAGUGUCAGCUUCUUGUUUUUCUUUUUUUUACCAUGUCAGUAUUAGUGACAGUAAUAGUAUAUCUGAAACAACUUAUCAUAGAAUCCAGAGUUCCUGAUAUUCACUAAGCCUAGCACUAAAAUUCCUAUAAGAAGAACGUGGUGCUGAAGUACUGCCCCAAAGCAGGUGAUCCAGAGGGUGUGCAACCAUGGGUGAGAUCCUGGCAGUGCUCUGACCAUGAGCAGCACCUUCUCCAGUGAACUGUGCUUGGCCAUGGUGCUCUCCCUGAGCCACUGUUCCUUUUAGACAUGAGCUCUGUGCCCUGAGCUGCACUACUGCACAUAGGGUCUUAGAUUCCUGUAUCAAACAGAAAUGCAUCUGGCAAAAAUAGAAUAGUGAUUAGAAAUACAGGCCCACUUGUUUUAAGUGUUAUUGGAGCAGUUCCUAGAAAAAGGAACUGUGUUUGGAGGAGACAGUUCUGCAUACCAGCUGGAAGAGCACCAGCAGCGAUGCCCCCCAUGGUGAUGUGCAGCAGUGUUUGUGGAAAUGAAGGUACAGGGUGGAUCAAGAGCUCACACAGAUGACAACAGUCUCCACCCAGCAUACAUCCCUGGCCUAGGCCCAGGCUGCCACGUCACUCUGCCCUGGACUGGGAUCAAAGGGUUCAGCGUGAGCUCAGGAGGUCACACAGAGAGGAGAGAGCAGCAAUCUCCAGCUUCCAGCCUGCUCUUUGUUCAGUUCAUCCUUAGUUUCCCAGUUACGUUUGAGAUCCCAUCUAACUCUCACUAGUACAGCCACUGCCAGCGGUCUCAGGGAGAAGAGCAAUCAGCCUUGACUUCACAUUAACUUCCUCUGAAUUACAUUAAAGCCCUUUCCCGAAGAGCAUUUUAAAGCUUUUUGUUCAAGAGAGGGUGUAGACAGGAGCAAAGAAAAGUGAAGAAGAGACUGCAUACGUGGGGGAAGGAAUUAGAUUUUUAAAGAGUCUUUUGGAGUUAUUUCAAUUAACCUAGGUACCAGAAACCCCUGGAGAAAGGCUUCUCUUAGAGCCACUGAAGUAGAACAGAGCAUUUCAGGGUCUCACUUUCACAUUAAAAUAGCAGCAGCACAGCAAAAGCACUUUUGCUUCCAGCCCAUAUAGCUUCACAAACACACAGCAUGAACUUGAUGCCACGCAGCUCUCAAAAGCAGCUCACCUCUGGCCAGCUUUUCAGAGAGGUUGUCCAUGACCCAGUAUAGAUGAUGAACAUAGGCAGGACACCAUUUUGAGCCCUCAGGCACAGGGGCUCAGGAAGAGAAAGGAUCCAGGCAAUGCCAGUGCUUGUGGAACAGGAUGUGUGUUGGCCUUCACCUUGCUGGCUGCUAAUAAAUGCCUUGAAGCACCAAAUAUGAAAUAGCACCUGAGUGAGAGGACCAGUGUGCACUAUCAGAGUUUUCACAAGGUGGUUUCUUGAAGAAGUAUACCCCUUUACUGUGCUGCAGACGCAGUGUGUUUACUUUCAGAAUUUCUAAUCAAUGAAGAAAAAAAUAGAAAAACCUAGAAAUCUACAAUAGGAAAGUUCUUACCUAAAGGUCUCCCUGCAUUAGUGGCAGGAAUAAGAGAAUCCAACAUAGGCAGUCUCUCAGCUAUAAAUUUCUCAGGCUUUCAUCAAUGCUUAUAAUGCCAAGAAGAUCCCUAAAAGCCACCAGAUUCAGAGAAACUCACUGACUGGUUUGUUUGAGAGGAUUCUUGUCAUUUCUGUCUCAGACAGUUUAAUCAUUUUAUAAAGGAGAAACAAGUGUUUGUGUACAUUGGCCUGAGUACGUGCAGCAGUGUUUAAUCACAAGAGAAACAUGAAGCAGAGCAGUCAGAAGAGCAAGGCUGGUGAGUCUGCACAAAAUUCCACAGAGGAGAGUGUAGAGGUAAUUCUUUGAACGUGCCUAGGCCCAUCUAUAUUUGUUGCAAGCUAGCAGGCCAGGUUCCUCAAGCGGAGGCCCCUAAUUGACAAGCGUAUGGUCCUAAAGGCUGGAAACAGAUUGAUGUCUGAUACUGUAUAAAAGCCUAUUUCCUUUUGGCUCACAAGGGCUUGGCACUGCUGCUGAUACCACAAAUGUCUGAGCCCAGUAUCAGUGCGUACGUAGCAGAGUGAAUAUUUGCUGGAAACGGAGCCUAAAUUAUUCAUGGCAGGCUUUACAAUCUUAAAUCCUUUAAUUCCUUCAUGUCACCAGUACAAAAGAAAACACCAAUGUUCUCUACUUAUAGAUUUUGUAAAGCAGAAUUGAUCAGCAAGGCUUGACAGGUGAAACAAAAAAAAAAUUAAUUGUUAAACGUCAGUUACUGUAUCUCCCCUGCUCAAAUUAACAUAGCCAUUGCUAGAAACAGAAGCUGAGACUAAGCUUUCAAGAAAGCAUUGGACAUAUUUAUUUGUAGCUCAUUUGUAAUCAUCCAUCCCAGCAAUAUUUGCAUCUUCCUCCAAAUACUUGUUGCUGUUAUAGACAGGACUCGAGGCCAGAUGGGCCACAGGUUGGACCUAGUUACUUGGCAAUUCCUAUCAAUGCAUGUUUGUCUAGAUAAAUAACUUGCUGCCACUAGAAAGAGCAAAGGAGAUUUGAGUUCUUCAAACUCCUGUUCAGACUCUAAGCUCAGUAUCAAAAUACUGAACAAUAAUUAGUCAAGCACAGGUCCUGCUGCCUGCGUGCUUUCAUCAGGAGCUCUCAGAAACCUUUAGCUGUUAGAAUCAGGUUUCUCAUGAACAGGAGAACUCAUGAAUGGUCUCCUGGAGCUAUACUUUAUCUUCUCAAAGGCUGCUGGGGGAGCUUUCAGCUGGACAGUAUUGGCACACAUAAGAGAGAAAUCUUAGUUUGGACAGAAACACUUUCCACCUGGAAAUCCUUAACUCAUCUUUCUUUAGGAGGCAAAGGGCUAAGGGAGGAAUAAGGAAUACAACCAUUUUCAAGAGCAAUAGCCACAUCUUUCAUCUGGAGCUGAAUCUUACUGCUGAUUUUUACACGUUAUUUCUCAUUCCUGUGUUUGGAAGAGCAUCUCUCAGACCCCAAAGGGGAACUGGCUGCCUGCUACAGUUGGGCUAUGGAAAUACACUAUGAGAUGUUACCCAGUACAUAGGGCAAAGCAAGACAGACAGUUUUCUCUACUGGCAAGAAGCCUUAUGUGCUACUCAUAACAAUAGGAAUCAAAAAAAAAAAUAUUUUUUUCCAAGCUGACAGAUCUGCUUUCAAGUGUAGUGCCUAGUACAGUCUCACCACGAGUGCUUGUGAGGCCUUUUCCCAUACAGCAGAACAGACCAGACAGUCUGGCAGUCUCAAAAGGUGCAACAAGCAGCAACCCUGUUUCUCUCUGUCUAUACGCACACGCUCUACAAUCUUUCACAGAAACGUGCCAAAGCAAAUACCAAAUCAUCUGUAAUAUUUCAGAGAGAUACCCAAAGCUCACAGAUACUUUCCAUACUACCCCCAGAACAAUCCACUGUUUUCAUUAGCACAAAGGUGGAAAUACGCGUAGUAGAGAGAAAAGAGAUUAGUUUCAGAAAGGAACAUGAACAGAAGCAGGUUUUGGUUUGCUCAGGAUUCACUCUGAUCCCAGCAGAAUCAGCGCCAAAGCUGAGCACUAGGGUGCCGGACUGGGUCCACCUCACACAAGACAUCACAUUUCGUUUCCAGAUGAGGUUAAGUGCCAGUUGCAACUCUUCAAAAUCCCAUCCUCUCUAGCACAGACAGAUUUGCUUGGAAGUGGCUGAUAUAUUCUCAUCCUCCUGGCUCAGAUGCAAUCUCUGGUUAUAAAAUAGCAACAAGGUUGAAAGAGAGACAGAAUGUCAGCCAGGCUAGCCAGACUAAAUGAGUUGAUGUACCUGAAGAACUGCAAGGUCCCAUUCAGAAUGGCUCGGGAGAGACCAAACAUCUCAUAGGCUUACAAUGAAUCUCCUGUGCAUAGGAACAUUGUGAGAUGAGACCAGUUAACAAAUGGCCAGAUUGCAACUCAGAAAUGUCAAUAUGGCAUUAGCGGAGUGCUUCGGAGUUCAGUUCAGUUUCCUUGUUAUUUCCACAUGGUUUGUGAAAACCAACAACAAAUACUAAAGCCUGAAAAGCACAUCUUUGAAGCCCAGCAACAGCUGAAGUACUCCCUGCUUUUUCCUACUACUGCACUAUACCUCAGUUGUGCCAAGAUAAACUUCCAUGAAACUAUGACAGGAAUCAAUUUAAAAAAAAAAAAACACCAAACCAAAUGAAAGUAAGGUUACUUUUAAGCUGAACUUGAUUUGCCAUGUAGCUACACCUACCUUUGCUGACAUCACCAAUUAAACAAUGCAGGAAUGCGAGGCUAUCCCUACUGCAAAAGAAAUGCUCCUCAGAUUGCAUCCUAAGGGAAGCCAGGCUCACUUUUCAGUAGACUACGGUACACUUUCUGAUGGGAAAUAUCAGUCAGCUAGUUCUGACUAUCUAAUCAUCUAAUCCAUUUAGCUCACUUAAAUUAGUGAUAUUGAAGCUAGGUCAAGGACUUGAGCAUCUGCUUGCUGCUAGGUUCCCCCCCCAGUGAUCUCGUCUCCAAGUUGAACAAACCAAGGUCCUCAGUCUCCUCUCCCAGGGCAAGUGUCCCAGCUCCAACCAUCUGUGGAGAACCUCAAGGUUUCCCAAUUGCAAUUUUGUUUUCUGGUCUAAAUUCUCACUUACAAACCUGCACUCACAAGACACUCCAAGUGAAAGUCAGGAUAAAUCUCCUGGAUGACUUGUGACUCUCACAUGAAACCACUAUAACAAAAAUUUAACCACUGUUGCGGUAAGAACCUUAAGCAACAAAGAUAACUGUUCCAGACACUGCCUCCAGAUCAGCUUCCCAUGGUCACUGAUGGGAUUGCACGUGAAGGUCAUGGGAAGCUUCAAGUUUAAAAAGGCAUUCCAAAAUAAAGAAACAAAAGCAGGGAUAUCUCACAUUUGUCUGCUAAACUGAAGGAAUCUAACUUGUUCAUAUGAGAUUCAUUCAGAAAAAGCAAAAUUUGCAUAAAUUUGGAGGUUCCUCCACACAGCACAGAUCACACUGAAGGCAGGGAUGAAAGCAAGACAAACUGGAAAAAAGAAAAAAAGGUGUCAGGAUACCUUUGCCUUCCACCUUUACUUUCCCAAAGUUAGUUCAAACCAUUAAAUCAAAAGAGCUCACAGAGGCCAACAGCUGACAAUCAGGGCUGACUAGUAAACCUCAGUCUAAAGGAGGGAUUCAUUUCAAGCCCCUUUCUCUCAAAAAGGAAAUUAAAUAAAGUAGAGCAAGGCUAAUUUUAAAUUAAUAUGUAAAAAAGUACAUAUUGUACCCUGUUAAUGCCACUCAACUUUAUCUAUGCCAAAUGCCCUAACUCAUUUAUCCUUAUGUAGUCUCUAUUUACUUUCAGUGUUUCUCCCUCGGUAAAGAAUGAAGAUUAGAUGAGUCAUUUAGGUUUUUCUUUUUUACUUUCUCAUUUUGAGUGAUAAGUCAGCUAUAGUCUACAGAAAUUCAUGUUUCUCUAUAUUCAGCAGAGAAAGACUGAAGAAGACAUUGAAGUGACUGAUACUAGCCACACACAGAAGAGUUAACCUUUGCAAGUGCUCUCCUCUCCAGUCUUAAGUGCUGUAACUUCCGUGCUGCAAGCAUGGCAGGAGGAAGUUUUCUUUGCUUAAUAAAUGUGUCUAUUAAUUUACUUUCAUAUUACAUUUCCCGAGGGAAAGAAAGCACUAAACUUCCCAUUCUCUUAUUUUAAAUGCAGUGUAAGAUACAUUUUAGACCUAGGAUUCAUGCAGCUCCUUAGUUUUUAGAAAUCCUUCUUAUACCCACAUCUUCAGAAUUACAUGACACACACUGCUUAUGAGCAAUGUCAUAAGUACAGAUCACUAAACACCUGAAAAAUGAAGAAAUAAUAGACUCAGAGAAGCCCACAUCUUAAGGUAGCAUGUGAAAUUCUGGUCAUGCCAGGAAGCAUGCAGUAAAAUGAGGAGGGGGACAGAUACAGAGGUGCCUAGGGUGGUCAGAAGAAUGGGUCAGCUUCCGAAAAGGUCUAACUAAAUAAACCCUGGAAAAAGAGACAGCAAAGCAAGACGAGGCAAAGAUCUCUACAAAGCAGGAAAAGUGAACAAUUAUUUGCUGCUUUUCUUAACAUCAGAGCAAGAAGGUGCUUGCUAAAAGAAAUCAUCAGGAGAAAGUUCAAAAACAAGAAGUACUACUUUACAGAGAUAUGUGACAGAGGCCCCAUGCAACGUACUACCACAGGACCUUUUAAAGUUCAAGACGGACCAAAGGUUCAAGAAGCGAUCAAACAAAAUAAUAGAAGAAAUGUGCCUUAAGAGCUGUUAGUUGUAGAAGGGCACGAAUAUAUCCCACCACAGAGAACACCCUGAAAGUGCAGAUUGGAAUAAUCAGAGAAGGCUAUAAUUUGGCUGGUGCUGUUGUAUGUUUGUCCCAUUUCUUGUUUUCCUUCACUAAGUCCUUGCUGUCAGCCAGUUAGACAUGGGAAAGAGAAGGCACACGAGAGCUAAAAGGCCUUGCUCCUGUGUUCUCCCUUCAGGAUUAGACCACUUGAGCUGGCACGCUCUGUCACUUAGCCAGGCUUCAGAGGUGACAGUGUCAAGCCAGCUGAGAAGAAGCACCACAACAUCAUGAUAUGGUUCUGAGAAAAAUGAUCCCUCUUUCUCGUGCUAUAGCUUGUCAUAUAAUAGCAAUAAUCACAAUUGCUUUGUAAUAUACUCAGAGCUGCUUUGGAGAUUGAUUAAAUGCUUCAGCUUCCCUUUAGCUUUAAUCAAACCCAGCAGCUGUUUAUCACUCAGAAUACUUAGAUCAAUAGAGCUUACACCUUACAUACACCUUUAAAAUAGCGUGCCCUGUACCAGCUCCCUUGAAGCUGCAAGUAGCAAUUAUAAUAAGUGAUCAUACACUGUAGAGCUAAAAGUAGAGGUUAAAAACUGAUAAAAUCACCACAACCAGUAGGAUGACACUUUCAAAAAACAGCCUUCCUACUUGCAAAUUUUUCCUAAGAUCUUAAUUUAAAAAAAAAAAAAAAGUCAGGAAGGGCUACGGCCAAAUGUGCUCAGCCCUAGCAUCAGAUUGAACACACAGACUACUAGAUAGAGCAAGGCAGCUGCUCCAUAAGCUGUGGACCUCUUCCCCGAGAGCCCAGUAGCAGAGGAAAGUCCAUGGACAGGGCUGCAUGAAAUCCCAAACACUAAUUAGAAUACCUCAUCUUUAGUUGGAAUGGUGUAAGGAUAGGAGGCAGUUGAUAUAGUUAACCAGUUUCAGAACACUCAAGAAAGGUAGAGGUCACAAUUCAAUAAUAAAGAAGGACUAGCUUACCCCUUUUCAAGGAUCAGUGCUCACUAGAAACUCCCAGGUAAGACGAUCUCCAAGGAAAAAUGCCUCCCCUUUUGACUGCCAGCCCUUAAAUGAGGUUCGGGUGAAUUGCUUGCACCUGUGCUACCAGAGCUGGCUAUACCCCUUCAACAGGUGCUCAAUCACUGGUUCAGGCUGUGACCUAGCAGUUCCUAUACAAAUGGAUAAUGACUACAGAUAUCUAUUUUACUCAUUCUGUGAGAUACACUUCUGUCUUGUAACUGAGUUGAGCCAGCAGUUUCAGAGAUCUAACAACAAUAAAGCUAAGAGCAUAUUUUAAUUACAUAAAAAUUAGCAAAUCCUACUGAAGAUAGCAUGAAAGCUUUUACUGACACAUGUGAAUCCAGGAUGUCCCUCUCCAUGUUAAUCAUGGUAAAUUAAGUGAAUGGAAGUUGAACUCCAGGCAUAAAAUCAUCAAAUCCAGACGAAACAUAUUGGAACAGUCCAUUUCAUCAUGCUGCCAGACAAGACAAGACAAACUCUUGGCUGGUGCCUUGAAAAGACAAAUAUUUGGAUAGGAAAAGAAAGAGAGAAUAAAAUCAUUGCUUCUAAAAUGAUAUGUUAUGGAAAAUUAUUGCAUCACUUUUACUAGCAGUUCACAGCUACUCAUUAAUUUUGCAAAAUUGCAGCAGCUCUGACUCUCUGAGGUCUUCUAGAGCAGCAGCUUCUUACUUGUUCAUAAGGGGACAAAAAAGCUGUGCUCAAGAGGUGACAAGAUUUGGUUCAUUUUAUACACAGUUGGGACAUGAGUUUGAAAGAUGGGACAUUAAGGCUGUGUUUUUCCAGUCACACGCACACAAAAAUGCAGGCCCUUUUCCCAGAAAGAAAGGUUGUGUAAAGUGGUAUUAAUGUCACGUUAAGUCAAGAAAGAUAUAGCAGACAGCAGCCACUGGGAUUUAGGAGCACUUUAGGUGGGCCAGCCUUCAAACCCUCACCUGUUCCUGGCACCGAAAAGGGAGAAUGAGAAAAUUGGCACAUCACUUAUAGAAGCUCUGCAAAAAUGCAACAUACUACAUUUCCUUUCUUAGACACUGAGGUGUGAUAAGGAAAAGAUCAUUAAAAUCCAGUUAAGAGGGGAGGUAGGGAAAACACUAUUGGUGCUCAUAAGGCCUCAGCCUUCCAGUAGACUGGGGGAAGGAGAAAGGAAAUAACAUGAGAUCAAGGCAAACAGCUGCUGUCAUCCUUUUGUGUCCUUCACAAAAGGAGGAAUGCUGGAUAAUCCAGUGCUUUUUGGCUUUAUUUUGUUUUGCUGCAUUUUUCAUACCUGCCUAGGACUCUAGCUCUUAAAAAAAGAGGGAAGUGGGGGAAGACAGGCUCUUCAAGUUAUUUUUAUGAGCCCAGCUAGCAUUUCACACAUUUCAAUUUCUGCCAGUGUGUGUUCCAUUUCACACUGCUAUCUGCUUGAAAGCGUCUUGCGAGGGGAGGGAGGGAGAUACCAGCCAAAAUAGUUUUGAAUGCUCUUUAUUAUAUGCAGAUCAAGCAAUUCUUAUUAACUCAGUUUCAGUUCUUCCUUCAUAGGUAGCAGCGCUGUGAUAUUAUUUGCAGGCAGCCAAGGUAAUUACCAUCCAGCAGGGUCCAAUUGUUUUCAAUUAAAAGCUUGACUGAAGUCUUUAGUUUUUAAUACCAUUGUGACCAUCUGCUUUCACUGAAGUUCAUCAGCAAAGGCACAGGCCUCAUUCUAAUGCUGCUUAAUUAUAUAGAGGAACUUUUUUUUUUUUUUUUUUUGGUCAGAGAUUCAUUUUUCCCUGCUAAAGAAAUGGGCAGCAAAGGGGCUACGUGUCUUUGCUAAUAGCCUGCAGCAAGAUGGAGCAGCCGGGAAGAUCAUUACCUUCCUGGGAGAUCCAGCUGUUACUGCACUGACAAGAAGAUCCAGGGGACCAAGAGCAGAAAGCAGUUAACCUUUGCUGCCUUGCUCUUCAUUCAGUCACUUGCCUCCCUCUAUCUUCCAGCAAAUCUGAAAGGGCCAGAAGGAAGAGGUGAUCAUCUUAAAACAUGCAGUGCAACCCCUGAUGAUCACGCUUUCAGACUGUGUUGCUGGCUGGGGUUGCACACAGGCUCUCCCACAUGGGCAUGCAUGCACUCCCUCCUUCUUGCACAUGUGGCAAAUGCUUUGCAGUCCUGUAUCAUCUCAGAUGUGAGGAUCUCCAAAUCCCUUACAGGCAUUCAUUAAGCCCUACACGAUCCCCAGGAGAAGUAAAUAUAAUUUUCCAGAUGGGGAAAUCAGGACAGUAAGAGGUUAAGUGACUAGCCUGAGGCCAAACAAUAAAUAAGUGGCAGAAUCAGCGUGAGGAUCUGCCAAGUCCCAAGUUUAACACAAGUCUCCUGAGCGUUCAUCACCAGAAAAGGAAAAAUGACACCCUCACAUCCUCAAAACACUUAAAUGAAGCCCUGUUUUAUAUGUGCCAGAGCUAAUGCGCACAGCUCUUAACAUUGCCAACUGUGAAGAGAACAGCAUUUUGCAGAUUCAAUGCAGAAACCACUGUCUCCAGGCAGGAAGCACACUGAUCUUGCUCCAUGCUAUCCACCCAGGCAGGCACACAGCUUCCUUACAGGUGCCUGCUGCCAUUUAUGUUGCACACAGCUAUACCAAGGAUCAGCCCCCUGAGAUACAAGUACUUUGCCAAGUGCCAGUUAAAAGAGGAAGUAUUUGCAGUACUACACUGUAAGACAACAGGAAGAGCUAAACUGGUGAACAGCACUGCUUUAGUGGCAGUCUCUGAAUCACUCGGCAAUGGAGCCAGAAUCCUUUCCAUCUUCUUGGCCAGCCACACAGGCAUACCCUUCUCUCUAGUAAAUCCCACAGCCAUUCAUCUGAAACUUAAAUCUCUGCUCCUCACUAAACCCUCGGAGAGAUGGAAGUUGGCUUUUGCCCUCACUGCUGGAGGAGUCUCUCUCCUUGGGGCUCAUCUUCACACUCAGUACAGAUAACGCUUCUUCCUAUAGGUCAUCUGGCCUUCUCUGAGCUAGCUUAUCAGUCAGGACUGGAUCCACUUUAAGGUUGUUAUACAGCCAAGUCCCAGUUUGCUAUGCAGUACUGAGAUCUCUACAGCUCCUAUACAGCAAAGGCAUUAAAAUGAGAAUCUGAGGCUUGGGAGAUAAUUACUCCAGAAAAUGGUCUAAAUGACUUCAGUAUUUUGAAAGGCUUGAGGUGUUGCUGUUAACUACACUCAGCUAUUGCAAAUGUAAAGCAAUUUGUUUCCAUACAGAUUUCCUUUAAAGCUACAUGUAUGUGUCCUAAAUACAUAAUUACACACCAGAGUAUAAUGGCUCAUUCAGGUUUAUUUCAUAACCAAUAGGCAUUUUAAAAGCAAUUUCUGGAGGAAUAUGCAGCGAACAUACAGCAUAGGUUCCAGAAGGUGGUUUCCUUGCAUUUUUCCUCAUAAGAAGCUCUCAAAGUUCUAUUUCCGCCCAAGAAAAAAGUGAGAAUAAAUAAACCCUUUCUUUAAGAAUUACCUUGAGGGAAACAUAAUGACCCUAUUAAGAAAAUAGUCCAGUAAACACAUUUUUGGCAUGAACAUCCUGUGAAUUGGAUGGCCUAGGAAAUUGCUAGUAAGAUUUUGCAGUCUUUCUGAUUGAAACUAAUCUGUGUUCAUAGCAAGUCAGCACAGCUAUUCCAAAGAGUUAUUUUGUCACCUAUACAAAAAUCACUUGGCAGCGUCCAUUUGGGCAGCUCUUAUGGAGUUAUGUGUGCACUGCAAGAAUUACAGAGGAAUUUCUGUUCUUUUCCAAAAUAAUCCUUAUAAUCUCUCAAGAAGCUGGUAUCUGGUGAAAAGUCCUGCAGUGACAGGAGCAAUAAUACAACAGUGCACACAGAUGAAAGAUUUGAACAGCACUAGUACUGUAGAGAGUAACCUAAGUUGACCAUAGAAUCAUAGAAUAUCCUGAGAUAGUAGGGAGUCACAAGGAUCAUAAAAUCCAACUCUUGGCUCCACACUAGAUAUCCUCCCCCUCCCCAGAAAUAAAUAAAUACAUAAAUAAAACAAAACGAAAUGUAUUACAUCGUUGUGCAAACACCUCUUUGAGGUUCAAGACAACCACUCUCAUUUAAGUUAUUAGUGAGGUGCUGCUUUAUUCUUCUGUUAUUCCAUGAGUUGCUGUAACACAAGCAGCUGCCUUUCAACAGGCAAAAGUGACCAGCAGUGCCUUUCCUCACCUCUCCUCAGGAGCUCCUGCCCCUGCAAAGAGCACUGAGUUCAUCCUGCUUAAUUGGAAGCAUUUAAAAUUGAGAUGCUGAAAUCAGGUACCACCAACAUCAAUAAACAGGCACUUCCAAAGGGCACCAAAGAUCUGAAUCUCCCAUCAGAUGUUCUUCUCUUUCUCUAUAAACUACAGAGACAAUUUAGCACAAACAAGCUCUUAACUCUGGCACCUCAGUUAAUCACUUAAAGAAAAAUAAAAAGUAAUUAGUUCUGCAUCUUUGAAACUGCCUGUUUAGCUAUAUUUAAGCAGAAGAGCUACAGGAUUUUAAAACAUCCCUAUUUUAAAGAUGAGAGGUAGAUAAAUGACUCAUCUUUUUCCGUAUGGUCAUUGUGCUUGUGAAUAGGUGAAGCAAAGCAUGGUAUCUCGGGGAAUUUGGUCUGAGAUUUUAGAGGCAACAGUAUCUCUAUGGCCUUGAUCAUAAGCCUGCACCCCAAGAAGCAAAGCCAAUGGUGUAGUCUGUAGGAAUCCAGUUAGGCAAGGGGGUAGGAAGCUGUAAAUCAAGAUAAGUAUCAUGGUUCUAUGGCACCCUUCAUGAAAAGAAAUAAAUUAAUGUACACUGCCACACAGGGAGGUUUUGCCUGUGUUGAUAAGAGGGACUGAAACAAGCAUGCUGAAGGCAAUCCAGGUUUAGCAAAAGAAGGAGGAAUUCUGAACUGCAUUAUGGACAAAUAUGAGACUAUGCUCAAUACCAAAUUUCAUACACCAAGCAUACAGCUCAUCCCAGUUACUCUCUAUUUAUGAGACUGUAGCCCAACACACCUGUACUGUGUAGAAAUGUGGUUUGAUGGCUCCACUGCGACCUCAUGGGCCCUCAUGGACAAGGCCUUCAUUUAGAUAUCCAUGAAGUACAACAAUACAUUUCUCACUUUGUUCCUAGAUUUACAAAUAAGUCUGAGGGCAGCUGACAAGGAUAGAGACAAUGGAUGAAAAGUAAAAAUCUCUUCCUGUUUCCUUUACUAUAUUUCAAUCUAACUUAAUUAAAGUCAAGAAUCCAAAUGUCAUUUUUCUGUAUAUUUACUCUUUGGAUAAGUUCAAUAAAAAUACAAGAAAAAAAAUCUAAGUUAUUUAAAAUACUACACAUGUCCAGAAGGUCUGCAGCACCUCCUUGCUG
ensembl:lncRNA